UAACUGCGCGUCGGAAUGUGAACUGCAGGACACAUGAACAUCGACACUUUGAACGCAUAUUGCGGACCGUGGCUUGUACACUGUCCAUGCCUGGCUCAGGGUCGGUUACACAUCCAUCAAGGUUUUCCUUGCAUUGGGCUCUCGCGGCGCGAGUCGCGUGGCUUCAAGGUGUGUGGGUGCCUUGCUGGCGCCGUCGACUCUCGGGAAUUCUGUUCCUGGGUUGACUGUCAGCUCUGCUGCUCGCUGGAGUCUGCUGCUUAGGCGGACUCCGACCCUCUAACUUUUCGACCUGAGAUUAGGCAAGAUUACCCGCCGAAUUUAA
rnacentral:misc_RNA from 1 species